rnacentral:rRNA from 1 species
AGAAAAGAUUGAAAUAGUAUAUUAAAUAUCCUUAAUCACUGUUUCAAAGCAUUGUAAGAUUUAGUAUAGGAGAUUAAAAAUUCAUGUCUUAUUAAUAAUUUAAAGUACUGUAUAGGAAAAAAACUACUGAAAAAUAGAAAUAAUAAAACUAUGUACCUUUUGCAUCAUGGUUUAACUAGAUUCUAAAUUUAGAUAUAAUAUUCUCGAAAUCUAAUGAGCUACUUUCAACCCUAUUAUAGUAGCAAAAAGGUGGUUGUUGCAAAAACUUCUUUAGAGAUGAAAAUAGAAAUGAAAUUUUAUUCGCAUUAGAUGAUAGCUAGUUUCCCUUGAAAAAUAUAUAAGUAUUUAGCACUAUAGAAUUCAUUUAAUCUAGAUAGUUGAACUAUUUCUAGUGCAGACAAGUUUAUGAGGAUAAGCUCAUAAAUAUAUUAUGUAUAAAAAUGACAAAGAACUCUUUUUAAAUUUAAGCUUGAAAAUUGCUAUUAUAGCAGAAUUUGUUAUAAUUUCAUUUACACUAAAUUGAAAUAAUUAAUUUGUUUCUAUAGAAAGGGGUAAUUUUUAAAACUUCAAUAUGGAUUACACAUCUGUUAGAAUUAGUAUUGAGUAUAUUAUAAGAAUUAAUAAUACAGGAAUUUAAGACCUAAAUAAAAUGUUUAUAUAACUAUUAAAUUGGGAAAAGGAACUCGGCAAAAUAAUGCUCCGCCUGUUUAUCAAAAACAUGGCCUCAUGAUGAUAUAGUAUAUGAGGUCGGACCUGCCCAGUGAAAAGUUUCAACGGCCGCGGUACUCUGACCGUGCAAAGGUAGCAUAAUCAUUUGCCUUAUAAUUGAAGGCUAGAAUGAAUGGUUUGACGAGAGCAUUACUGUCUCUUCUGGUAACUUUAUAGAAUUUUAUUUUGAAAUGAAAAAGUUUUGAUUAAAUUAAAAGACAAGAAGACCCUAUCGAGCUUAAAAUAAAUUAAUAAGAUGAUAUUAAUAGACCUAGAAAAUUAUUUAUUAAGAAUUUUGGUUGGGGCAACCGAGGAGCAUCUAAAGCCUCCUUUAGAUUAGGUUUUAAACUAACAGGUCUUGAUCCAGUAAAACUGAUUAAAGGAAUUAGUUACCGUAGGGAUAACAGCAUUAUCUUUUUUGAGAGUUCCUAUCGAAAAAAAGGUUUGUGACCUCGAUGUUGGACCAGAGUAUCCUAAAGAUGCAGAAGUCUUUAAGGGUUGGUCUGUUCGACCAUUAAAACUCUACGUGAUCUGAGUUCAGACCGGCGUAAGCCAGGUCAGUUUCUAUCUUUAAUUUCAUUAAAGUCUGCUUAGUACGAAAGGACCAGCAUGCAAUAACAAUUAUCUUGAAAGAAACUAUAUAAUGACAUACUAAAGAAUUUA